rnacentral:rRNA from 1 species
GUCGAGCGAGGUUUUCGGACCUAGCGGCGGACGGGUGAGUAAUGCGUAGGAAGCUGCCCGAUAGAGGGGGAUACCAGUUGGAAACGACUGUUAAUACCGCAUAAUGUCUACGGACCAAAGUAUGGGACCUUCGGGCCAUAUGCUAUCGGAUGCGCCUACGUGGGAUUAGCUAGUUGGUGGGGUAAAGGCUCACCAAGGCGACGAUCCCUAGCUGGUUUGAGAGGAUGAUCAGCCAGACUGGGACUGACAACAAAUCAAAACUAGUACGGGAGGCAGCAGUGGGGAAUAUUGGACAAUGGGCGCAAGCCUGAUCCAGCCAUGCAGCGAGUGUGAAGAAGGCCUUAGGGUUGUAAAGCGCUUGCAGGGGGGAGGGGGUUGUAGUUAAUAGUAACAAUCU